GGCUUUAUAGUCAAUAUAAUGAUACCAGACUGCAAUUCUGGAGUAGUAAUUUAUACUAAAGCUU
rnacentral:tRNA from 1 species